CAACCGGCGCACGGGUGCGUAACGCGUAUGCAACCUACCUUUAACAGGGGGAUAACACUGAGAAAUUGGUACUAAUACCCCAUAAUAUCAUAGAAGGCAUCUUUUAUGGUUGAAAAUUCCGAUGGUUAGAGAUGGGCAUGCGUUGUAUUAGCUAGUUGGUGGGGUAACGGCUCACCAAGGCGACGAUACAUAGGGGGACUGAGAGGUUAACCCCCCACACUGGUACUGAGACACGGACCAG
rnacentral:rRNA from 1 species